ACAUAAUACCUCUGAGAGGUGACCUAAGCAACCUGUACCUCAGAGAGGUGAUUGGCGGUCAACAGUGUGAAGUUUAAAACUUAACUUUUCCCGGUAUUUUCUCCCCUAAUGUGUUCUCAAAGAGAGAUAGCUUUAAGAAAUAAAGUAACACGAAGCAACCCUUGUGACAAACGAACCCAGAUUUUUGAAACGUUCUGUUUUCAUGGAAGCAUAACUCUGAGAAACUUCUGGAAUAAAGCUAGACACGGAGCAGGAAGAGGACAUCAUUCACAGUUAACAGCUGGAAGGCACGCCGUUCUCAGUCAAGGGUCCUUCCAGAGAGGAAAGGAAAAUGCUGAGACCACCCUGAGGCUCCGUUCAGUACCUGAGUGAAAGAGUUGGGGCAAAGGGAAUGAUGAGACAGGAAGCCGGUUCAUGGUUUGUCACUCAACAAGCUUGAGCCCAGAUGGUCUUCAAUUGUCUUGAGCUGAAGUACUGUGUUCCAGCUCCCAGAACCACAACACUAGAGAAAGACACGGGGUGCGGUCUUCUUCGAUGAACAGCACAACAGCACAGAUAAGUUUUAAGAGUUAAGAUUCCCAACCUUCCUCUCUAAUCCUUUUUUUCAAAGCGUUAAAAUCCUUUCUCUUUCUUUCCCUCUCCCUCAGCUUCUUUCUUUCUUUUGAAGCAGGUGGUGGGAGGGCACAUCCUUGCCUUGCUCCUGAUCUUAGUGGAAAGUUUCACGUUUCUCACCACGAAGUAUGCGCUUAGCUGUAGGUUUGGGGAGAUAUCCUUUGCCACGCUGAGGAAAUUCUCCUCUGUUAGGGUUUUUAGCUUCUUGUCUUUGUUUUUGUUUUUUUAAAGACUUUGUCAUUUACUUUUUAUUUUUUUUAAUGUUUAUUUAUUUUUGAGAGAGAGAAAGAGAGA